rnacentral:rRNA from 1 species
GAUGAACGCUGGCGGCGUGCUUAACACAUGCAAGUCGAACGGGAAUUAUUUUAUUGAAACUUCGGUCGAUUUAAUUUAAUUCUAGUGGCGGACGGGUGAGUAACGCGUGGGUAACCUGCCUUAUACAGGGGGAUAACAGUCAGAAAUGGCUGCUAAUACCGCAUAAGCGCACAGAUCUGCAUGGCUCAGUGUGAAAAACUCCGGUGGUAUAGGAUGGACCCGCGUUGGAUUAGCUGGUUGGUGGGGUAACGGCCCACCACGGCGACGAUCCAUAUCCGGGAGGGGAAGGUGACAGGCCACAUUGGGACUGAGACACGGCCCAGACUCCGACGGGAGGCAGCAGUGGGGAAUAUUGCACAAUGGGGGAAACCCUGAUGCAGCGACGCCGCGUGAAGGAAGAAGUAUCUCGGUAUGUAAACUUCUAUCAGCAGGGAAGAUAGUGACGGUACCUGACUAAGAAGCCCCGGCUAACUACGUG